rnacentral:rRNA from 1 species
CGGAUUCAUUGGGUUUAAAGGGUGCGUAGGCGGUGGGAUAAGUCAGUGGUGAAAGCCCGGGGCUCAACUCCGGGAUUGCCAUUGAAACUGUCUCACUUGAGUAUAGUCGAGGACGGCGGAAUGAGUUAUGUAGCGGUGAAAUGCAUAGAUAUAACUCAGAACACCGAUUGCGGAGGCAGCUGUCUAGGCUAUAACUGACGCUGAGGCACGAAAGCGUGGGGAGCGAACAGGAUUAGAUACCCUGGUAGUCCACGCUGUAAACGAUGAUCACUCGCUGUUGGUCACCUAGUGGCCAGUGGCUGAGGGAAACCAUUAAGUGAUCCACCUGGGGAGUACGUCGGCAACGAUGAAACUCAAAGGAAUUGACGGGGGCCCGCACAAGCGGAGGAACAUGUGGUUUAAUUCGAUGAUACGCGAGGAACCUUACCUGGGCUUAAAUGCAGGCUGCAUUGAGGGGAAACUCUCAUUUCCUACGGGACUGCCUGCAAGGUGCUGCAUGGUUGUCGUCAGCUCGUGCCGUGAGGUGUCGGGUUAAGUCCCAUAACGAGCGCAACCCUUAUCGCUAGUUGCCAGCAUGUAAUGGUGGGGACUCUAGCGAGACUGCCGGUGUAAACCGGAGGAAGGUGGGGAUGACGUCAAAUCAGCACGGCCCUUACGCCCAGGGCUACACACGUGUUACAAUGGCCGGUACAGAGAGCAGCCACCUGGCGAUAGGGCGCUAAUCUCGAAAGCCGGUCCCAGUUCGGAUCGGAGUCUGCAAUUCGA